CACAGUGUAGCUUAAAUAUAAAGCAUCUGGCCUACACCCAGAAGAAUUCAUAAAAUGAACACUUUGA
rnacentral:tRNA from 1 species